GCAAUAUAUUUCUCGCCUCUUUCAUGCCAAAAAUGGCACUUUUACAGGCGUGUGCUGACAUGCACAACAUCUGUAUGCCCUUUGUGAUGAAAUAUCGCAUAUACACUUGGUUCCACGACUGCUUUUGUCCAAAUGUGAUUUGGAAGCACAGAGGAUCCCAAAUCCAUUCUUUUCUUGGCUGCGCACUUCAAAGGUGAACCUUAAUUUAAUUCUUUUCAUUUUGUAUUAAGUAUUUAGUAUGUUGCCUAGUUUUGAAUAUGUUUGUAGGUUAGUUAUGUUUAUAUGCCUGAUGAUGCUAAGUAUGCCUUAUUUGGGUUCUAUACUUAAUAUGUGCUUUAUUUAAUAACAAACAUAAUAGGAAUUGAGGAAAGUGUUAUUGUGAAGUUCAUUUAAUAAGUAGGUUAUUGAAUUACUUAUUGGUCUUGUUUGUUCAUGUGGUCUUGAGGUUCUGUGUUCACUAUAAAGAUGUGUGUGUGAAGUGUUUUUUUUUU